rnacentral:rRNA from 1 species
GAUCCUAGCUUGCUAGGAGGCGUCGAGCGGCGGACGGGUGAGUAAUGCAUAGGAAUCUGCCCGGUAGUGGGGGAUAACCUGAGGAAACUCAGGCUAAUACCGCAUACGUCCUACGGGAGAAAGCAGGGGCUCUUCGGACCUUGCGCUAUCGGAUGAGCUUAUGUCGGAUUAGCUGGUUGGUGAGGUAACGGCUCACCAAGGCGACGAUCCGUAGCUGGUCUGAGAGGAUGAUCAGCCACAUCGGGACUGAGACACGGCCCGAACUCCUACGGGAGGCAGCAGUGGGGAAUAUUGGACAAUGGGGGCAACCCUGAUCCAGCCAUGCCGCGUGUGUGAAGAAGGCCCUCGGGUUGUAAAGCACUUUCAGUGAGGAAGAAGGCUUGUCGGUUAAUACCCGGCAAGAAAGACAUCACUCACAGAAGAAGCACCGGCUAACUCCGUGCCAGCAGCCGCGGUAAUACGGAGGGUGCGAGCGUUAAUCGGAAUUACUGGGCGUAAAGCGUGCGUAGGCGGCUUGAUAAGCCGGUUGUGAAAGCCCCGGGCUCAACCUGGGAACGGCAUCCGGAACUGUCAGGCUAGAGUGCAGGAGAGGAA